rnacentral:tRNA from 1 species
AAGGCUUUAAGUUAAUUAAACUAAUAACCUUCAAAGCUAUCAAUAAAGGACCACUCUUUAAGCCUUA